AUGGCUGAUCAGCUGACUGAAGCACAGAUUGUUGAAUUCAAGGAAACUUUCUCCAUAUUUGAUAAAGAUGGUGAUGGGACUGUUAUGCGGUCACUGGGUCAGAACCCAACAGAAGCUGAGUUCCAGGAUAUGAUCAACGGAGUGGAUGCUGAUGGGAGUGGCACCGCCGACUUCCCAGAGUUCUUGACCCCGAUGGCUAGAAAAAUGAAAGAUACAGAUUAUGAAGAAGAAAUCCGCAAGGCAUUCCGAGUUUUUGACAAGGAUGGGGAUGGUUACAUCAGCGCAGCAGAACGGUGCCACAUCAUGACCAACUUAGAAGAAAAACUAACAGAUGAAGAAGGAGAUGAAAUGAUCAGAGAAUCAGAUAUUGAUGGAGACGGACAAGGCAAAUAUGAAGAAUUUGUACAGAUGAAAACUGCAGAAUGA